GUGAGGAAUAUUGCGCAAUGGAGGCAACUCUGACGCAGCCAUGCCGCGUGCAGGAAGAAGGCGCUACGCGUUGUAAACUGCUUUUAACCGGGAAGAAACCCCAGGACGUGUCCUGGGUUGACGGUACCGGAGGAAUAAGCACCGGCUAACUUCGUGCCAGCAGCCGCGGUAAUACGAAGGGUGCAAGCGUUAUCCGGAUUCAUUGGGUUUAAAGGGUGCGUAGGCGGAGCGUUAAGUCAGUGGUGAAAUCCUGCAGCUUAACUGUAGACUUGCCAUUGAUACUGGCGCUCUUGAGUGCGCUUGAAGUGGGCGGAAUGUGCCGUGUAGCGGUGAAAUGCUUAGAUAUGGCACAGAACACCAAUUGCGAAGGCAGCUCACUAAGGCGAUACUGACGCUGAGGCACGAAAGCGUGGGGAUCGAACAGGAUUAGAUACCCGGGUAGUCCC
rnacentral:rRNA from 1 species